rnacentral:rRNA from 1 species
GACGAACGCUGGCGGCGCGCCUAACACAUGCAAGUCGAACGAGCGAGAGAGAGCUUGCUUUCUCAAGCGAGUGGCGAACGGGUGAGUAACGCGUGAGGAACCUGCCUCAAAGAGGGGGACAACAGUUGGAAACGACUGCUAAUACCGCAUAAGCCCACGGCUCGGCAUCGAGCAGAGGGAAAAGGAGCAAUCCGCUUUGAGAUGGCCUCGCGUCCGAUUAGCUAGUUGGUGAGGUAAUGGCCCACCAAGGCGACGAUCGGUAGCCGGACUGAGAGGUUGAACGGCCACAUUGGGACUGAGACACGGCCCAGACUCCUACGGGAGGCAGCAGUGGGGAAUAUUGCACAAUGGGGGAAACCCUGAUGCAGCGACGCCGCGUGGAGGAAGAAGGUCUUCGGAUUGUAAACUCCUGUUGUUGAGGAAGAUAAUGACGGUACUCAACAAGGAAGUGACGGCUAACUACGUGCCGGCAGCCGCGGUAAAACGUAGGUCACAAGCGUUGUCCGGAAUUACUGGGUGUAAAGGGAGCGCAGGCGGGAAGACAAGUUGGAAGUGAAAUCCAUGGGCUCAACCCAUGAACUGCUUUCAAAACUGUUUUUCUUGAGUAGUGCAGAGGUAGGCGGAAUUCCCGGUGUAGCGGUGGAAUGCGUAGAUAUCGGGAGGAACACCAGUGGCGAAGGCGGCCUACUGGGCACCAACUGACGCUGAGGCUCGAAAGUGUGGGUAGCAAACAGGAUUAGAUACCCUGGUAGUCCACACUGUAAACGAUGAUUACUAGGUGUUGGAGGAUUGACCCCUUCAGUGCCGCAGUUAACACAAUAAGUAAUCCACCUGGGGAGUACGACCGCAAGGUUGAAACUCAAAGGAAUUGACGGGGGCCCGCACAAGCAGUGGAGUAUGUGGUUUAAUUCGACGCAACGCGAAGAACCUUACCAAGUCUUGACAUCCCUUGACGAUGCUGGAAACAGUAUUUCUCUUCGGAGCAAGGAGACAGGUGGUGCAUGGUUGUCGUCAGCUCGUGUCGUGAGAUGUUGGGUUAAGUCCCGCAACGAGCGCAACCCUUAUGGUCAGUUACUACGCAAGAGGACUCUGGCCAGACUGCCGUUGACAAAACGGAGAAAGGUGGGGAUGACGUCAAAUCAUCAUGCCCUUUAUGACUUGGGCUACACACGUACUACAAUGGCGUUAAACAAAGAGAAGCAAGACCGCGAGGUGGAGCAAAACUCAGAAACAACGUCCCAGUUCGGACUGCAGGCUGCAACUCGCCUGCACGAAGUCGGAAUUGCUAGUAAUCGCAGAUCAGCAUGCUGCGGUGAAUACGUUCCCGGGCCUU